GCGCGGCAAGAGUUGUCCUAGAGGCGGGUCGACCGAGCCCCUGGGGAAUGGGAGGAGGUUGUGGCUGCACGUGUUUGUUGUAGCAACAGUUGUAUGGUUACCACUGGGAGAGUAGAAAGUAUCCUCACACGAAGGGGAUUUUCACUAGCCCAUUGAGGUGAACACAGGGCUGGUUCCAUUGUGCUGAAGUCAACUUCGGAAAGGCAGAUAUUUGGCUGCUGAAAAGGUACUCUAAUAAAUUCAUUUUCAGUUCAACAUCUCCAGCGUUUGAGGAACAUUGAUGGACACCCCUCUGCAUAAAAACGUUUGGAAUGGUGAAAUGUCCCCGCAGAGCCUGUCACCUGCAGGAUGCUCUUCACCUGUUUCUGAUCUGACUCUCCUGUUCUACAGUCUUCACUGCCAGGAAACGAAUACUCCAUGGAGAUAUCUCAAGCCGACGCCAGAGUCACAUUCCCCCCCGGGAGCACAGCGCACACACAAAAGACCGCCUCAGUUGGAGACGCCAACAGGUUUGGGCACGUCGAAGGAUUUAACCGCAUCUCUGCUAUAUUAAGCACUCGGCUCAAAACAUGACAGAAGUGCAUUUAAAAACAGGUUCAGCAAAGGUUUGACAGAACUAUUCUGAUCCUUUGAAAAAGAUCAAAUACAAUUUCAGCUCUUUCCAUCCCAGAUGUAUUUUUUGGCAAAAAUAAUGAUAAUGAGACUUAAAAUUAUUAACUUGACAAAAUGACAAAAGGACAACGUUGCACUGUAUUCCUGUGCGUUGCCUUUGACUGUCACUGUGUUUGAGAAUCUUCAUGUGGAAUUGAGCAGUCAUUGAAGAACCCACACUGAGCUAUCCCUGUCAUGGACAUAUAAUGAUUGAUAUUUUUUAGUAACUUUGUGCCCUUUUGAUUCUCAGACAUAGCAGCUUUCCAAAAUAUUGUAUAGUUUUUAAAAGCCUUUUUUUAUUUUCAGUGAGGAAUUCCAUCAAACAUGCAGCGAGCAGAGAGAGGUAAGAACAUGGACUAUAUACAUGCAAUGAUAACUACAGGAUGUUCCAACAGCAUUACCACAAUCUUUGAGUUUAUAUUUCUGUCUCUCUGGUAGGUUGUCACCUGGAUACUCGGCUCCAAAACUGGUAAGCAAUAUUUUCGUGCUUAAGUAGAUCAUUCAGACUUCGAUUGAAACCCUAAAUUAAACAACCCGACUGAAUACUCGUUGACAAUCAGUGUCUUAAAUUGUGUCCUAAGACUGGGUCGCGGUUAGACUCAGGCCCUUUAAAUUCAUCUCAUAAUGAAAUGCAUACAUUUUGGAUGGAUGACUUAUUUCAAAUGCCUUUUCAUAACUAGUUAAUUCGUCUCUUUGUACAAAUAGAAGUGUGUGCGCGUGAAGCUGUCCUCCCGUUUUCCAAACCCAGUGAAUCGAGGGGUCUCUUUGGCCAAGGAACAGUGCAAUACCUCACCAGCAGAGGUCACACUCUCCCAAGAGAAUGAAGAGACGAUGGAGACAGAGGAUGACAUGGUGAGAUUGAUUAACUGAUGUUAAAGGUACUCGUUAUGAACCGAGUGGCU
ensembl:lncRNA